AUUGAACGCUGGCGGCAUGCUUUACACAUGCAAGUCGAGCGGCAGCGCGGGGGCAACCCUGGCGGCGAGCGGCGAACGGGUGAGUAAUGCAUCGGAACGUAUCCUCGAGUGGGGGAUAACCCAGCGAAAGUUGGGCUAAUACCGCAUGAGCUCUGAGGAGGAAAGCGGGGGACCUGCGAGGGCCUCGCGCUGGAGGAGCGGCCGAUGUCCGAUUAGCUAGUUGGUGGGGUAAAGGCUUACCAAGGCGACGAUCGGUAGCUGGUCUGAGAGGAUGAUCAUCCACACUGGGACUGAGACACGGCCCAGACUCCUACGGGAGGCAGCAGUGGGGAAUUUUGGACAAUGGGGGCAACCCUGAUCCAGCCAUGCCGCGUGAGUGAAGAAGGCCUUCGGGUUGUAAAGCUCUUUCGGACGGAACGAAAUGGGCGGGACUAAUACUCCUGUCUGAUGACGGUACCGUAAGAAGAAGCACCGGCUAACUACGUG
rnacentral:rRNA from 1 species